AGAUACAAUAGAAAAUGCUGAUUUUGGACUUGCUCGGGAGAUCAAUUCUCAGCCCCUAUAUACAGAAUAUGUCUCAACACGCUGGUAUCGUGCCCUUGAAGUUCUUUUACAAUCACCAAUAUAUGGUCUGGCUAUUGGUGAAUAUGAAACUACAAGUAUCUAGUUGAAAUUCUUUUAUUCUUUUCGCUUGUUGGGCAAUUGAUUGCUUUCCUUGUGAUAUAUUGAUUACCUCUCUUAAAUCCAUAUAUGUGGGCAGUGAGUAUAAUAAUGGCUGAGUUAUUAACUCUUCAUCCUCUAUUCCUCGGUUCAAGGUGUGCAUUCAUCUUUUUGAUUCUUUUCCUUUGUUAAUGCACUCUCUUAUAUAUUUUUUGGACUAUAGGUAUUUCAGUCUUAGUUAUGCACUGAUAUUUUUAUAUAAGGGGAGAGGGGAGUGGUUGGCAGAGUUGGGAUGGUUCCGGGCUGUAGUAAUGUUCCUUUCCUGUAUCAGUUCCUUUCCUUUCCUGUGAUUUUCUGUGAUGUUCAUUAGUUUACUCGUGAAUUUUUUCAAUAUUCCUUAAUUUUAGAUUUUGUAAUGCAAGGUUGUCCGUCAUCUAAUUCAAGCAGGACUCGAAGGUCAUGUGGUUAUGGGUGCUCCUGACUAUGUUUAGACUACUGAGACACUGCCUGGACUUUUCAUCCUUAAGAAAAAAGGAAAAAGUGAUGUACUGUUAUUCAAAAUAUUGGUCAAUGUUUGAAAGCAGGAGCAUGAUAUCUUUGGAGGCACCAACAUUAUAAUCUUUGAUCAAAGCUUAUGUGCUUGUACUCUAAUAUUUCUAACACACAUGCCACAUCUAUCAUAAUGCUUAGUCUUUGCAAUUUAUUUUCUACAUUGUCUCAUUGAUUGAGAUUUAAAAAAAAAUUAUUUUUGACGUAUUUGAACUGGAUUUACUAUGGUAUAUUUAUCAGUUAUGUGCACUGUAUCUGUGUAAAUAUCUGUUUACUGGGAGAAAGAUAAUAUUUGAUGUUAUGUUUUUAAAAAUAAGAUUGAAUAAUACAAAGUGGAUUAUGAAAUAUGAAGCAACAAUAAAUACUUUGCAUUACAUUGUACAAAUAUCUAAUAGAAUACUUGUUCAUAAAUAUAGUAAACAGUACAUAGAACUUAAGUUAUCUAUCAUAAAAUUAAAUUAAAAAUAAAAAUUGCAGAAAAUUAAAUAAAGUUGAUCAUGGAGCUUCCACAUCAUAUAUUUUUUUCCUUCUUAAUUACUUUACGAACCUUGGUGGUGGAUUGUUUGUCAUUACAUUUAUCAUUACAUUCCUGCAUUGGUAGUUUUUCUACAGAUUUACUUCUAUUGGAAUAAUGUUUUUCUGUCAAAUCAAUGCUGAUAUCUGUUAGGGAUGAUCCACAUUCUGAAAGAUUGUUCUUAAUAAAAGUCUGUAAAAGGUUGUAUAGUGUAAAGAUUUGUCAAGUAAAAUUCAAAGAAUUUACAUUAACAUAUUAUGUAAAAGGUAAAAUAUUUUUCUUUUAUAAUUAUGAUUC